UGGUGUUGAUGGUGGGACUGACAGGACAGUGAUGGUGUUGAUGGGACUGACAGGACAGUGAUGGUGUUGAUGGGACUGACAGGGCAGUGAUGGUGUUGAUGGAGGGACUGACAGGACAGUGAUGGUGUUGAUGGGACUGACAGGACAGUGAUGGUGUUGAUGGUGGGACUGACAGGACAGUGAUGGUGUUGAUGGUGGGACUGACAGGGCAGUGAUGGUGUUGAUGGUGGGACUGACAGGGCAGUGAUGGUGGGACUGACAGGGCAGUGAU